UCGAGCGAGUCUGCCUUGAAGAUCGGAGUGCUUGCACUCUGUGAAACAAGAUACAGGCUAGCGGCGGACGGGUGAGUAACACGUGGGUAACCUGCCCAAGAGAUCGGGAUAACACCUGGAAACAGAUGCUAAUACCGGAUAACAACAGAUGAUGCCUAUCAACUGUUUAAAAGAUGGUUCUGCUAUCACUCUUGGAUGGACCUGCGGUGCAUUAGCUAGUUGGUAGGGUAACGGCCUACCAAGGCGAUGAUGCAUAGCCGAGUUGAGAGACUGAUCGGCCUCAUUGGGACUGAGACACGGCCCAAACUCCUACGGGAGGCAGCAGUAGGGAAUCUUCCACAAUGGGCGCAAGUCUGAUGGAGCAACGCCGCGUGAGUGAAGAAGGGUUUCGGCUCGUAAAGCUCUGUUGUUGGUGAAGAAGGACAGGGGUAGUAACUGACCUUUGUUUGACGGUAAUCAAUUAGAAAGUCACGGCUAACUACGUGCAGCAGCCGCGGUAAUACGUAGGUGGCAAGCGUUGUCCGGAUUUAUUGGGCGUAAAGCGAGUGCAGGCGGCUCGAUAAGUCUGAUGUGAAAGCCUUCGGCUCAACCGGAGAAUUGCAUCAGAAACUGUCGAGCUUGAGUACAGAAGAGGAGAGUGGAACUCCAUGUGUAGCGGUGAAAUGCGUAGAUAUAUGGAAGAACACCGGUGGCGAAGGCGGCUCUCUGGUCUGUUACUGACGCUGAGGCUCGAAAGCAUGGGUAGCGAACAGGAUCAGAUACCCUGGUAGUCCAUGCCG
rnacentral:rRNA from 1 species